rnacentral:lncRNA from 1 species
UCAGUUUGUAUGUCCUUUGGCGUGUAAACAGUCUUUAGGAUCACAAUACUUUGGAACGACAAUGCUACCAACUACUGUUGCAGUACAUUUGCGCUUUUAUGAAUGUUUCGUCCAUUCGGCAGCAUAUGUGUUGUCGGCUAAAACUUCUUAUCUUGAACAAUGAAGAAUCAUGAAUUGACGUUGCCUUGAAAUGCCAUUUGCAAUUCUCAACUACACAUACAAGCCAGUAGCUAC